rnacentral:snRNA from 1 species
AGCUUUGCGCAGUGGCAGUAUCAUAGCCAAUGAGGCUUAUCCGAGGCACUAUUAUCGCUAAUUGAAAACUGAUAAAUAAAGUUUC